GUCACCGUUGUUCAACGGUAGAACAGCCCCCUCCGGAUUUAUUUGGACGCUGGGGAGGUCGGGGGUUUGAUUCCUCCCGGUGGCG